GUUGCCUUAUGGAGUUUUUGAAUGGUUCUGACCUGUUCUCAUCAACUACUACAAUAACAUAUAUAAUUAUCAGGAACGAAUGCAGGAAUUUGGGAACUGA
rnacentral:sRNA from 1 species